rnacentral:lncRNA from 10 species
CUUUUUUUCUAUAGGUGAGGUCUCCCUAUGUUGCCCAGGCUGGUCUCAAACUCCUGGCCUCAUGCAAUCUUCCCAUCUUGGCCUCCCAAGGUACUGGGAUUGCAGGUGUGAACCAUCAUGCCCAGUCCAGAAUUUUGAUUCAGGUCUUCACCAAGUACCCCAUUGCAUUCUGAGAGGAGGAUGUCAAUCCAGCCCGUCAGGCCACAGCGACAUCAAGGCAAAUGCUGGCAGCAUUUGAAACCAUUCAAGGGGCUACGUGUAUUGCAGCAGGACCAUUCACCAUGAUCUCUGGUUUGAUGGCAUAGGUGCUGUCACAAACGGUUCAUUUGAGCCCCCAAACCAUCUUAGAAGGGCAGUACCACUUAUUUCCACUGAGCUGAAGAGAGCCAGGCUUAAAGAAUGUGAGGUUUGCUCGAUGUUAAACAGCCACUUGUAGUUAGUAGCGCGAGCAGGAUGGGAGCCCGAGUGUUCUGAAGAUGUGAAGACUUUCAAGGAAAAUGCCUGCAGCUUUGGUGAGAUUGUGGAAAGGGGGCAGAGUCGAGGCGGGGGCGGGGGCUGGGAGGAGGCAGGUAGAAAUUGAUACAACCUUUCUG